CCCUUAGAUGUUCUGGGCCGCACGCGCGCUACACUGAUGCAUUCAACGAGCCUAUCCUUGGCCGACAGGUCCGGGUAAUCUUUGAAUCUGCAUCGUGACGGGGAUAGAUUAUUGCAAUUAUUAAUCUUCAACGAGGAAUGCCUAGUAGGCGCAAGUCAUCAGCUUGCGUCGAUUACGUCCCUGCCCUUUGUACACACCGCCCGUCGCUCCUACUGAUUGGGUGUGCUGGUGAAAUGUUCGGAUCGGCCGUUUGUCGCGGUUUCCGCGUCAUGUGGCUGAGAAGUUCAUUAAACCCUCCCACCUAGAGGAAGGAGAAGUCGUAACA
rnacentral:rRNA from 1 species